rnacentral:rRNA from 1 species
CAGGCUUAACACAUGCAAGUCGAGCGGAGAUGAGGUGCUUGCACCUUAUCUUAGCGGCGGACGGGUGAGUAACGCGUGGGAACCUGCCCAGUGGGGGGGGAUAACUGCGGGAAACUGCAGCUAAUAACGCAUGAGCCCGAGAGGGGAAAGAUUUAUUGCCAUUGGAGGGGCCCGCGUUCGAUUAGGUAGUUGGUGGGGUAACGGCCUACCAAGCCGACGAUCGAUAGCUGGUCUGAGAGGAUGAUCAGCCACACUGGGACUGAGAUACGGCCCAGACUCCUACGGGAGGCAGCAGUGGGGAAUAUUGGACAAUGGGGGCAACCCUGAUCCAGCAAUGCCGCGUGAGUGAUGAAGGCCUUCGGGUUGUAAAGCUCUUUUGCCAGGGACGAUGAUGACGGUACCUGGAGAAUAAGCCCCGGCUAACUUCGUGCCAGCCGCCGCCGUAA